CCUGCGGAGCUGCUGCAGCGCGCGCCUUCCAUCCGGGCCCUACGGGAGCUGCUGCAGCGCGAGCCCUCCAUCCGGGCCCUGCGGAGCUGCUGCAGCGCGCGCCUUCCAUCCGGGCCCUACGGGAGCUGCUGCAGCGCGAGCCCUCCAUCCGGGCCCUGCGGAGCUGCUGCAGCGCGAGCCUUCCAUCCGGGUCCCUCCCCAGCCCCUCUCACCUCUGAGCGCCUGGAACUCAGACACCACCCUGGGAGAAGAACUGUGACAGGACUGAUUUCUAAACACAACAUAGUUGAGAAAUCAUAAAACUGGACAGGACUAACCGAGAGUGGCUCAGCAAGGAUUCUGCAGCACAGAUCUUGGGCCGGAGACCGUGGAGUCAUGGCUUUUGAGCAUCUGGCUUGAGGACUGUGGGGCUCGUGCCCUGCCUUGCCACUUGCUCACAUUUGGAACAUCUGGAGCUCCACAGCUGGCAACGUCCAGAAACACCUAAGAGUGGGACUCCCUAGUCAUCUAUAAGCACAAGUUUGACUCUGUAAGAAGCUGCUAAACUUACCCAGAGUGGCUGCACCGUGUUUACACUCCCACCAGCAAUGGAUGUGAGUUCCAGAUCUAUUUCCGAUAGAGGGGUGUUGAAGUCUCCAGCUACAAUAGUAGAUUUAUCUACGCGUUGUGGUUACACAUUAAGCGUUGUUGUGUCUUCUGAACUGGCUUCAUUAUCAUUAUAGAAUGGCCCCUUUUAUCCCUGAUAGUUUUUUUUGCUCUGAGGUUUGUGCCGUCUGAAGUUAGUAUAGCCGCUCCACGUUUCUCCUCCACCCAGCUUUAUUGACGUAUAAUUGACAAAUAAAGAUUGUAUACACUUAAAACAUACUGUGUAAUGAUUUGAUAUAUGUAUGCACUGUGAGAUAAUUACCAUAAUCAAGUUAGUUAACACAUGGUUACUCACAUGAGUAAAUCACUUCUAAAUAAUACAUGGGUCAAGUAGUCACAUAGUUACUAUUUUGUGAGUGUGUGUUUGUGUGUGUGUGUGUCAAGAACACUUAAUAUCUACUCUUUUCGCAAAUUUCAAGUAUACAAUACAGUUUUGUUUUUUUUUUUUU